rnacentral:rRNA from 1 species
GGGCGUAAGAGCUCGUAGGCAGUUUGUCGCGUCGGAUGUGAAAACUUGGGGCUCAACCCCAAGCCUGCAUUCGAUACGGGCAAACUAGAGUUCGGUAGGGGAGACUGGAAUUCCUGGUGUAGCGGUGAAAUGCGCAGAUAUCAGGAGGAACACCGAUGGCGAAGGCAGGUCUCUGGGCCGAUACUGACGCUGAGGAGCGAAAGCGUGGGGAGCGAACAGGAUUAGAUACCCUGGUAGUCCACGCCGUAAACGGUGGGCGCUAGGUGUGGGGCACAUUCCACGUGUUCUGCGCCGCAGCUAACGCAUUAAGCGCCCCGCCUGGGGAGUACGGCCGCAAGGCUAAAACUCAAAGGAAUUGACGGGGGCCCGCACAAGCGGCGGAGCAUGCGGCUUAAUUCGACGCAACGCGAAGAACCUUACCAAGGCUUGACAUAUACGGAAAUCUGGCAGAGAUGUCAGGUCCGCAAGGGUCGUAUACAGGUGGUGCAUGGUUGUCGUCAGCUCGUGUCGUGAGAUGUUGGGUUAAGUCCCGCAACGAGCGCAACCCUCGUUCUAUGUUGCCAGCGCGUUAUGGCGGGGACUCAUAGGAGACUGCCGGGGUCAACUCGGAGGAAGGUAAU